rnacentral:rRNA from 1 species
GACGAACGCUGGCGGCAUGCCUAAUACAUGCAAGUCGAGCGAACAGAUGGAGUGCUUGCACUUCUGACGUUAGCGGCGAACGGGUGAGUAACACGUAAGGAAUCUACCUAUAAGCGGGGGAUAACAUUCGGAAACGGGUGCUAAUACCGCAUAAUAUCUUCUUCCGCAUGGAAGAAGAUUGAAAGACGGCUCUGCUGUCACUUAUAGAUGACCUCGCGGUGCAUUAGUUAGUUGGUGGGGGAACGGCCUACCAAGACGAUGAUGCAUAGCCGACCUGAGAGGGUGAUCGGCCACAUUGGGACUGGGACACGGCCCAAACUCCUACGGGAGGCAGCAGUAGGGAAUCUUCCGCAAUGGGCGAAAGCCUGACGGAGCAAUGCCGCGUGAGUGAAGAAGGCCUUCGGGUCGUAAAACUCUGUUAUAAGAGAAGAACAAAUUGUAGAGUAACUGCUACAGUCUUGACGGUAUCUUAUCAGAAAGCCACGGCUAACUACGUGCCAGCCGCCGCCGCAG